UACGUAGGGGGCAAGCGUUGUCCGGAUUUAUUGGGCGUAAAGAGCGUGUAGGCGGCCAUGCAGGUCCGCUGUGAAAACUCGAGGCUCAACCUCGAGACGUCGGUGGAAACCGCAUGGCUAGAGUCCGGAAGAGGAGAGUGGAAUUCCCGGUGUAGCGGUGAAAUGCGCAGAUAUCGGGAGGAACACCCGUGGCGAAGGCGGCUCUCUGGGACGGUACUGACGCUGAGACGCGAAAGCGUGGGGAGCGAACAGG
rnacentral:rRNA from 1 species